GAUGAACGCUGGCGGCGUGCCUAACACAUGCAAGUCGAACGGAGUUACUUGUUUAGAUCUCUUCGGAGUGACGAACUUUUAACUUAGUGGCGGACGGGUGAGUAACACGUGAGCAACCUGCCUUUCAGAGGGGGACAACGGCUGGAAACGGUCGCUAAUACCGCAUAAAAAUAUUUGAGCGGCAUCGCUUAAAAUAUCAAAGGAGCAAUCCGCUGAAAGAUGGGCUCGCGUCUGAUUAGAUAGUUGGUGGGGUAACGGCCUACCAAGUCGACGAUCAGUAGCCGGACUGAGAGGUUGAACGGCCACAUUGGGACUGAGAUACGGCCCAG
rnacentral:rRNA from 1 species